rnacentral:lncRNA from 1 species
ACCUUUCAUUUUCUCAGCUUGUUCAUUCAGGCGGAUUUCAAGAUCUUGCUUCUGUUUCUCCAAUUCUGAAAUUUGCUGUUUAAAGUCUGGGAUCAUCUUUAGAGAAGAAUUAGAAAUAUUAGAAUAUAAAAUACUUUUAUCUAUGAACUUUAAAAUCUUAGAAGCAAACUGAACUAUCUUGGUGUUCAGCCUGCAGAACAGAUAGCUGUGUAAAAGAGCUAGCCACGACAUUAGACUGGAUUAACAUUUUUUUUUAACCUCAAAACCUAUAUAGUCUCAGGAAACACCAGUAUGCUCAGAGGAAGCAGUUCUCACACAGCUACGACAGGGAGAGAAGGAUGUGUACAUGUAUAGAAAUCCUAUGCUGAGUUGAGGGAGGAAUUAGGUGAAGAAAUGGCAGCCAGCGUCUUUGGUCCAAGCCCAGAGCCAUCGUCUCCUCAUCUAGGAACAGGAAAAGCCAUCUCAAAGGGUCCCACUGCUACUUUUGAAUUCAAGGACAUGCACUGCUCUGUUAGUGGAGGUCUGGAAUCACCCGGUGGUUGAUUUCUUGACUGAGAUGCACCACUUUGAAGUUCAAAGCUUCAAUCUCCUUUUCAUAGCAAUCCUUCUGAGACUGGAAAUGGCUCUCCAAAACACUAUUAAAGGAGGGGUCAAGAAAUAAACCACAUGGCCUUUGUUCUGUUUUAUGGACUGCUGGGAGGCAGUUAUGAAGACCCACAACAAGAGCCGUGCACGAAGUACAUCAAGUUUACUUAUGCACUCACGGUUACAGGCUACAGAAUCAGGAAUGCCUAAUUAUAAAAUCUUCUAGCUAGUUAGGAAGCAUUAUGUGGGGGUUAAUAUGUAGUUAACAAUGAAGAAAAUUUUAGAAGUUAUUAUAUUUUUACACUCUUAAUAGUUUAAAAAAUACUGGCCAGACGCAGUGGCUCACACCUGUAAUCCCAGGAUUUUGGGAGGCCGAGGUGGGCGGAUCACUUGAGGUCAGGAGUUUGAGACCAGCCUAGACAACAUGGUGAAAUCCCGUCUCUACUAAAAAUACAAAAAUUAGCCAGGUGUGGUAGCGCAUGCCUGUAGUUCCAGCUACUUGGGAGGCUGAGGCACGCAAAUCGCUUGAAACCUGGAGGUGGAGGUUGCGGUGAGCCAAGAUCUUGCCACUGCACUCCAGCCUGGGUAACAGAGCGAGACUCCAUCUCAGAAACAAAACAAAACAAAACAUGUUCUGUAUGAUACUACAGUUGUGGAUACGAGUCAUUAUACAUUUGUCAAAACCUACAGAAUGUACACCAAGAGUGAACUCUAAUGUAAACUAUAGACUUGAGGUGACAGUGGCGUGUCAGUGUUGGUUCACCAGUCAUAGUAAACACAUCACUGUGGUUUGGGAAGUUGACAGUGGGGGAGGUUGUGUGUGUGUGGUGGCAGGGAUAUAUGGGAACUCUCUGUAUUUCUGCUCAACUUUGAUGUGAACCUAAAACUGCUGUGAAAAAUAAAGUUUAUUAAUUUAAAUAAAUGCAGCACAUGCCUUAAAUUUAAAUGUAUCUACAUAUUUCUGGCAACAUUAACUAACUUAUUUGAUAAUCAGUUUUCACUGUAUGGGUUAUGGGGUUUUUUACUAGGCAUUUUAUCCCACAAAGAGAUUGCUCUUCAUGAAUAAGCUACUUACUUACUUCUCAGAGAAAUAUUUCUAGUGGUUAUUCAGUCAUUCUACUAUAAGGAAUUUGUGUAUCAAUCUAUGUAAGGUAAACUUUGGACUUUCCAAUAGUCUAUUUAUUAUCUCUGAAAAAUAAAGAAGAUCCCUGAGGAGAAUUUCUAACCGUGUUGCUUUCUUUAGUCCUUCAUAAGCAAACCAAAGUUCUCCAUCCUCAUUUAAAUGUUCCAGAUCUUCCACAGAGAGCCUGCAAAAUAAGGAAGAUAAGAAAAUCUAUCAUCUCUGUCACGUUUUACAUGUUUACAUGUCUUAAAAUGUUUGAUAAUGCAAAAAUGAUUACCUGCUUCUUACAUCUUCAAUGUCAUAGCUUUCGAGAAGUUGUUUGGUGAUCUCUGACAUCUUUUCUGAAAGGGAAAGGCAGAGUUGUAUAUAUUACAUUUGUGGAUGAUUUAUCUUUUCCCAUUCCCUUUCCAGGGCCCAGUUUUCUAGCUUCACAGUCUCCAGCUAAAUAACUCACCAGCUAUCCAAUCAACCAACUAACCAAUCUUCCAGGUAUUCAACCAACUAGCUAUUCAACCUAUCAACUAAGCAAUCUACCAUAUGUCCAACCAAAUUCAUACCAAAGGACACGUUUCCUUAGCAGCGACACAGCUAUGAUAAAUUCAGUCUGCACCCAUGGACUAAGAGACUCAUAUUUUUAUUACCUCUCAUUUCCCGUUUUUGUGACUGCACAUGUUUCUCCACAUCUAUCUUCUGUGCCUGAAGUAGUUCUAUCUCUUUUUCGAACUCAGAGAUUGUCUGAAUCACAGCAAUGACGGAAUCAGGUAAAGAAAAAACAACGAUUAUGCUUUAUAUAAGACAAAGGGAACACAAUUACAGCGUUGCGUGUCUAUGCAAGACAUCCUCACUGCAGUUUCUUUCUUAGCUAAAAUCUUGUUAAACCAUCACUGCCUACACAGCUUGGCCUUGAAGCAUGCUUAACUACUCAAAAUGCCAGAUCUAAUGGGUUGUAUCAGUAGAAUUAACUUCCCUGGGCCAGGCAUGGUGGCUCACACCUGUAAUCCCAGCACUUUGGGAGGCUGAGGCAGGUGGAUCACCUGAGUUCAGGAGUUUGAGACCAGCCUGACCAACAUGGUAAAAUCCCAUCUCUACUAAAAAUACAAAAAUUAGCCAGGCAUGGUGGCAGACGCCUGUAAUCCUAGCUACUUGGGAGGCUGAGGCAGGAGAAUCGCUUGAACCCG